GGACGAGACGAGUACGAAAAAUUCGCAAAUGCGAAUCAACGUCGAUGUGCAUUGAGCAAGACAACGACGGUUGCGAACAGGUUACUCGACGGGGCGCACAAGUGGUCAGUCUGGUACGAGUUAGAUAACAAGUCGUAGCGACUUGAAACAAAGACCACCGAAAAGGGGAAGUUGCCGCGCUGCCGAUACACGUGAAAUCAUCCAUCUGUGCCAUAAGGAUCAAAUAUAAUUAUCAUAUUUUAUGAUCAAUGCGACUGGCGUUUUCUGUUGGUAGACAUGAGACGACAUUCAGAAACGGGCUUUCAGAUGCAAGACAACGCAGUACAGCGGCAUCUCGUCGAUGGACUUUGUUGGACGUUGCUGGAUAUUGAUGGACUUCAAGGCGACAUGAAAUGAGCACUCAACUCUAAAGGGAUGCUGCGCCGGAGGAUCCGGCUCGGGCCUGGCAGAGUCGGUGCGAAGAGACGAAGCAAGCGACUAGCUGACUCUAAGGGGCUGCUGUGCCGGAGGAUCCGGCUCGGGCUGAGCGGGGUCUGCUCGAAAAUGAGUAUCACUAAUUAACAUUCAUAAUAAGAAAUCCGACAAGACUGAUAAUAUUGUUGCUCAAAUUUGAGAUAAUUUGAAUUGAAUCAAAAGAUCGCGUUAAAUUGUAAUUACAUGCGGGGAAAAUUUUUCUGGAUAACAUCGCCAUUUGAAAAAUGUUGAUUUGUUGUAAGAUUUAUUUGCAACGUCAAGAAAAAAGAAAGUGGAAUAUUUUAGUGUGAAUGCACUCCGAAAAAUUCUCCCAGCAUGAAAAAUAUUUAUUUUUUUUUUUAAUCUUUCAAAUUUCUUCAUUCAAAUCGACAUUAAUGCAUGAAUCUAAUCGGCGAAAUGGCAUUUUUUGUUCUAGAAACGAAAGCAGAACGUGGCUGCCCGGAUCGACGGUUCGGUGAGUCAAAACAAAAGACAUUGAUAAAAGAAAGACGAAGUCUUUCGAUGUAGUGCAUGCUUAUAAAUCAAUGCGAUUUACUUUGCUGUAGUUGUAGUAUGUGUAUGUGCCGUCCAAUAAAAAACUUGAAACAUUUGGAAAAUCGUUUU